CUGCAGUCGGUUUCUCCAGGAGAAGCAGUGAAUCUUCAGUGUACGGUUCUCUCUGAGAUCAGAUCAGCAGAACUGAGAGUGUUCUGGAUCAGAUCUGCUGCAGGAUCAUCCUUUCCUGAAAUCAUCUUCACUCAUCACAACAGCAGCAGCAGCAGCAGCCGUCAGUGUGAGAUCAGCUCUUCUAAACACAGCAGUGUGUACAACUUCUCCCCCAACAUCCCCAACAACCACCAUGCUGCAACUUACUACUGCGCUGUGGAGACCUGUGGGAGGAUCAUCAUCGGGAACGGGACAACUGUGGACUUACAUGAUCACAGAUCUGCGCUGGUUGUUAUCUUGGCUCUGGCUCUGGGUUUGAGCUUUUUCUGCAAUGUUAUUCAGGCCUGCUGGAGCUGGAGGAGAGGGAUCUGCAGUGGUGAAACAUCUCCUUCUGUCCUCCACAAUCUCCCAGAGAUUCUACAAAGCCAGG